AUGGUUAUUCUCAGGCGCUCCUUCUACAAACUUGGAGCAGAGGCCUUUGAGCUAAUUAAUUACAUUCUGUAUAUCUGAGCCAGCUAGCAGAGCUCCUCGCUGACACUCGGAUACAUCUGGGCCUGAUAACAAUUGCAAAUACUCAGGGCACACUUUAGGAAAAAAAAAAAAAAGGCUUAUGUUACAAUGUGCAACAGCAUGUUUUACAGUCCUCGGAUCGGUCAGAUAAAUAAAACAGCUCGAGUCCAGGGCUUCGUGGGGGGAAACGUCCUUGGUAACAUUUCACCUAGAGCAGAAAAAUUUCCCCACUGACAAGGGACCAGUUUGACCCGAAGACAAUGUUCAGUUCCUCCGAGGGACAGUUUUGGAGAUUUGGGUCCGACGUGGGAGCGUAGAAGAGAAUUUACAAGAAGCUCCUUCUGCGCACCCAUCCGAGGAGUGGGUGUAGACAUGAAGAGACUGCGCGUUCUUCGGCCGCGUUCGGGGUAAAAGAUCAUGAGGCAAAUAAACACGGAUUUUCUUGAGGAAAAUGAAUGGGCCCAGGGACCACGUUUCAUGCCUUACUGAACCCCCGACUCACUCGCUUCGAAGGCCAUCUGUCCUUGAGACAAAAAGACCACUUUUUAAAAAGAUGCCGUUGUUGGUGUGCGAAUCCUGGAAGGAGCCAAGAUUUGGGAAAAUUGUCUCUGCCACCUUCUAAGCUACUCUUCAUAUCAAGUAACACCCAACUCAUGGGAUUGGGACACGUUUUGGUGAGAUAAAAUAUGUAAAAUACCCAGUCCUCCGUAAAUGAUAACUAUUGUUACAAUCCUCGUUUGCAGAAAAAUUCACCUCAGAGGGUUCCCGUAGGCAUAAAAGACUUCAAGCAAACAUCAUUUGGUAAUAGUUGCACUCGUCGUUGGUAAUAGUGCUUUGAUUGGAAGGUUUCUGAGUCGGAGCCCACGCUCGGGGGAAUGGGUCUGUCAUCUGGAAGCAAGUGUGCCUCGUGCCCUGUCCAGGAAGGGUCAGCACUGUCCUAUGCUCUUUCCACAUAGACGGCAAGGAUCUUUCCAAAGAUUCCAAGCCCCUUGGAUUCUCUCAGAGAUCUGAUGAAGCCUCUGAACCUGUCUUAGAAAAAAUGAUUUUAAGUCAAUAAUGUAAAAUGCACUUUAAAAGACAGCCAUUAAAGGGGUGCCUGGGUGGCUCAGUUGGUGAAGCAUCCGACUUCGGCUCGGGUCACGAUCUCACGGUUCGUGAGUUCGAGCCCCACGUCGGGCUCCGUGCUGACAGCUCAGAGCCUGGAGCCUGCUUCGGAUUCUGUGUGUGUGUGUGUGUCUCUCUCUGCCCCUCCCCCCCCCUCUCAAAAAGAAAUAAAACAUAAUAAAAAAUUAAAAAAAAAUAAAAUACAAUCAUUAAAAUGCUGAUAAGACCAACUCAUAGUAUCAUAAUAUCAUAUGUGCUUCUUUAUUAACGUAGUAAAUAACAAGAUCCAGUGACAGGUCUCAUACCUAUCAUCCUGUUAAAGAUGUAUGGAACAAACAUGACACUGUGAUGGAUCUGUGGCAUAUUUAGUGUAAUAGAAUUGUAUCCAUCCCUUGGUGCAAAAUCAUACGUAUUCUUAAUACUGUUACCAUGUUUUAUCCACAUCCAUAAUGAAAGGGAAUGCUGCAUUUCAGUUAGAAAUUGGUGAAAGUAAAGAUGCAUCCAUCCAAUUUUGUCCAUCCAUUUUCAUGGACCCCUUGCCCUGGAGCCCUCGAUGAUGAAUCACUGUGCUAGAAUCCCAACUUAAAACCCUGGCCUGAGACCUAGAAACUUCUUUUCACGUAAUCAGCUUGGUAUAUACCGUGUUUCUCCAAGACCACCUCCCUGGUCGCCCUCCAGCACAUACUCUUCCGUCGAAUGACGUUUGUAAGGGCCUUCAGAGAUCAAGUCUUAGACAUUUUUGUGGACACGUUGAAUUGUUCCUCCCACCUACACAGGCUGAUACCAUAAUUAUUAUGGUUCUGUUUCUAGUGAGUUGGAGUAUCUUGGUAUAAAUGUUAUGGUUUCUGAAAGUCAAGAUUGAAGAUAGAUGCAAGAGAAUUCAAACUAAGCUAUGACAAUAUUUUAAGAAAUGAAAUGCUUUGAGAACAGUCAUAAAACAGGAAGUGCCUGAAGACUUGGGAAACUUCAGACUCAGUUGUGCUGAGGGAAAAGAGCAAAAUAGACUUUGGACAAGCAUGUAGACUGUGGGAUAGUAAUUCAACCUCAGCUUUACAGCUUUUUGACAUGGACCCAUAUUCCUAGAUAAAGGUUAUAAUUCAUUCUCCUGGACAUGAAACAAUUCUUCACAUGUUGGAUUAAAAGCCCAGAGGGUAUAUAUAGAGCUGGGUAUAUUGGGACAGAGUGAUGUGUAUCUCUAAAAAGGGAAACACAAUUUAGAUUAGGAACCUAUUGUAAAGACAGGAUACAGGUUUAAUUUUUUUUUAUGUUUAUUCAUUUUUUGAAAGAGAGACAGAGCACAAACAGGGGU